UCCAGCAGCCGCGGUAAUACGUUCCCGGGCCUUGUACACACCGCCCGUCACGCCAUGGAAGCCGGGAGUGCCCGAAGUCCGUGUCCUAACCGCAAGGAGGGAGCGGCCUAAGGCAAGCUCGGUGACUGGGGCGAAGUCGUAACAAGGUAGCCGUAGGGGAACCUGCGGCUGGAUCACCUCCUUUCUGGAGACACCCAGUAGGUCCACGCGACGCGUUCGCGCGUCAGCCGCUGCUCCGGCAGCGCGCCGGACCGACCGGUUCUCACAAGUCGCCCGCCCUUAUCUUCCGAUACCUAAGUUAUUCAAAUGAACGG
rnacentral:misc_RNA from 1 species